GACGAACGCUGGCGGCGUGCUUAACACAUGCAAGUCGAACGGCAGCACGGGUGCUUGCACCUGGUGGCGAGUGGCGAACGGGUGAGUAAUACAUCGGAACGUACCUUAUCGUGGGGGAUAACGCAGCGAAAGCUGUGCUAAUACCGCAUACGCCCUGAGGGGGAAAGCGGGGGAUCGCAAGACCUCGCGCGAUUAGAGCGGCCGAUGCCUGAUUAGCUUGUUGGUGGGGUAAAAGCCCACCAAGGCGACGAUCAGUAGCUGGUCUGAGAGGACGAUCAGCAACACUGGGACUGAGACACGGCCCAGACUCCUACGGGAGGCAGCAGUGGGGAAUUUUGGACAAUGGGGGCAACCCUGAUCCAGCAAUGCCGCGUGAGUGAAGAAGGCCUUCGGGUUGUAAAGCUCUUUUGUCAGGGAAGAAACACCGGCUCUAACACAGUUCGGGAAUGACGGUACCUGAAGAAUAAGCACCGGCUAACUACGUGCCAGCAGCCGCAGUAA
rnacentral:rRNA from 1 species